rnacentral:rRNA from 1 species
AGUGAACGCUGGCGGUAGGCCUAACACAUGCAAGUCGAACGGCAGCACAGUAAGAGCUUGCUCUUACGGGUGGCGAGUGGCGGACGGGUGAGGAAUACAUCGGAAUCUACUUUUUCGUGGGGGAUAACGUAGGGAAACUUACGCUAAUACCGCAUACGACCUACGGGUGAAAGCAGGGGGUCUUCGGACCUUGCGCGAUUGAAUGAGCCGAUGUCGGAUUAGCUAGUUGGCGGGGUAAAGGCCCACCAAGGCGACGAUCCGUAGCUGGUCUGAGAGGAUGAUCAGCCACACUGGAACUGAGACACGGUCCAGACUCCUACGGGAGGCAGCAGUGGGGAAUAUUGGACAAUGGGCGCAAGCCUGAUCCAGCCAUACCGCGUGGGUGAAGAAGGUCUUCGGGUUGUAAAGCCCUUUUGUUGGGAAAGAAAAGCAGCAGGUUAAUACCCCGCUGUUCUGACGGUACCCAAAGAAUAAGCACCGGCUAACUUCGUG